AACGAACGCUGGCGGCAUGCCUAACACAUGCAAGUCGAACGAGACCUUCGGGUCUAGGGGCGCACGGGUGCGUAACGCGGGGGAACCUGCCCUUAGGUUCGGAAUAACUCCCCGAAAGGGGUGCUAAUAACGGAUAAUGUAUUCGGACCAACGAUCUUUCGCCUUGGGAUGGGCCCUCGUUGGAUUGGCUAGUUGGUAGGGUAAAAGCCUACCAAGGCGACGUUCCAUGGCUGGUGUGAGAGGAUGAUCCGCCACACUUGGACUGAGACACGGCCCAGACUCCUACGCGAGGCAGCAGUGGGUUAUAUUGGACAAUGGGCGAAGGCCUGAUCCAGCAACGCCGCGGGAGUGAUGAAGGCCUUAGGGUUGUAAAGCUCUUUUACCCGGGAUGAUAAUGACAGUACCGGGAGAAUAAGCUCCGGCUAACUCCGUG
rnacentral:rRNA from 1 species